CGUUCUCAGGGCGGGGUGAGAUUCCCCACCGGCGGUGAUGUCACCGGUCCCAUGACCGGCGGCGAGCCCGCGAGCGCCCCGCAUUCGCGGCGGCCCGGAUGUGUCCGGGGCGACCACGAGCGGGGGUCAGCAGACCCGGUUGGAUCCCGGGGCCGACGGUCAUAGUCCGGAUGGAAGAGAAC
rnacentral:ncRNA from 1 species